rnacentral:rRNA from 1 species
GGCCAGACUCCUACGGGAGGCAGCAGUGAGGAAUAUUGGUCAAUGGGCUUACGCCUGAACCAGCCAAGUCGCGUGAGGGAAGACUGCCCUAUGGGUUGUAAACCUCUUUUGCCGGGGAGCAAAGAGCGGGACGCGUCCCGCCUCGAGAGUACCCGGAGAAAAAGCAUCGGCUAACUCCGUGCCAGCAGCCGCGGUAAUACGGAGGAUCCGAGCGUUAUCCGGAUUUAUUGGGUUUAAAGGGAGCGUAGAUGGGUUGUUAAGUCAGUUGUGAAAGUUUGCGGCUCAACCGUAAAAUUGCAAUUGAUACUGGCAGUCUUGAGUACAGUUGAGGUAGGCGGAAUUCGUGGUGUAGCGGUGAAAUGCUUAGAUAUCACGAAGAACCCCGAUUGCGAAGGCAGCUUACUAAACUGUGACUGACAUUGAUGCUCGAAAGUGUGGGUAUCAAACAGGAUUAGAUACCCGCGUAGA